AACGAACGCUGGCGGCAGGCUUAACACAUGCGAGUCGAACGCCCCGCAAGGGGAGUGGCAGACGGGUGAGUAACGCGUGGGAAUCUACCCAGAUCUACGGAACAACAGUUGGAAACGACUGCUAAUACCGUAUACGCCCUACGGGGGAAAGAUUUAUCGGAUUUGGAUGAGCCCGCGUAAGAUUAGCUAGUUGGUGAGGU
rnacentral:rRNA from 1 species